AGAGUUUGAUCCUGGCUCAGAACAAACGCUGGCGGCGUGCCUAAGACAUGCAAGUCGAACGGGGUCUUUCGGAGUGCUUGCACUCUGGCUGACCUAGUGGCGGACGGGUGAGUAACACGUGGAUAACCUGCCCCCGAGACGGGGAUAACAGCCCGAAAGGGUUGCUAAUACCGGAUAAGCUCACAGCAGUGCAUGCUGCAGUGAGAAAAGGACGCAAGUCCGUUUGGGGAUGGGUCCGCGGCCCAUUAGCUAGUUGGUAGGGUAACAGCCUACCAAGGCUUCGAUGGGUAGCCGGCCUGAGAGGGCGAACGGCCACACUGGAGCUGAGACACGGUCCAGACUCCUACGGGAGGCAGCAGUCGGGAAUUUUGGGCAAUGGGGGAAACCCUGACCCAGCAACGCCGCGUGAGCGAGGAAGGCCUUCGGGUUGUAAAGCUCUGUCAGUUGGGACGAACCGGUCGGUGAUGAGCCGGCUCUGACGGUACCAACGGAGGAAGCCCCGGCUAACUACGUGCCAGCAGCCGCGGUAAUACGUAGGGGGCGAGCGUUGUCCGGAGUUACUGGGCGUAAAGGGCACGCAGGCGGCCAGUCAAGUCAUGGGUGAAAUACCGAGGCUUAACCUCGGGGGUGCCUGUGAAACUGGGUGGCUUGAGGGUCGGAGAGGGUAGUGGAAUUCCCGGUGUAGCGGUGAUAUGCGUAGAUAUCGGGAGGAACACCAGUGGCGAAGGCGACUACCUGGACGACACCUGACGCUGAGGUGCGAAAGCUCGGGGAGCAAACGGGAUUAGAUACCCCGGUAGUCCGAGCCGUAAACGAUGAGUGCUAGGUGUGGCGGGUAUCGACCCCCGCCGUGCCGGAGUUAACGCAAUAAGCACUCCGCCUGGGGAGUACGGCCGCAAGGCUGAAACUCAAAGGAAUUGACGGGGGCCCGCACAAGCAGCGGAGCAUGUGGUUUAAUUCGACGCAACGCGUAGAACCUUACCAGGGCUUGACAUCCCCUGACAGUCCCAGAGAUGGGAUCUCCCUUCGGGGCAGGGUGACAGGUGGUGCAUGGUUGUCGUCAGCUCGUGUCGUGAGAUGUUGGGUUAAGUCCCGCAACAAGCGCAACCCUCGUGCUAUGUUGCCAUCAGGUUAUGCUGGGCACUCAUAGCAGACUGCCGGGGACAACUCGGAGGAAGGUGGGGAUGACGUCAAAUCAUCAUGCCCCUUAUGUCCUGGGCUACACACGUGCUACAAUGGCCGGCACAGACGGAAGCGAAACGGUGACGUGAAGCCAAUCCGAUAAAGCUGGUCCCAGUUCGGAUCGCAGGCUGCAACUCGCCUGCGUGAAGCCGGAGUUGCUAGUAAUCGCGAAUCAGAAUGUCGCGGUGAAUACGUUCCCGGGCCUUGUACACACCGCCCGUCACACCACGAAAGUUGGCAACACCCGAAGCCGGUGGGCUAACCCGCAAGGGAGGCAGCCGUCGAAGGUGGGGUUGAUGAUUGGGGUGAAGUCGUAACAAGGUAACC
rnacentral:rRNA from 1 species